rnacentral:lncRNA from 1 species
AAAUGAUUGCUAAAUUAAUCCCCAUAUUCUAAGUCUUCCCUUUCUGAGGAUUUCAUCAUAGGAUGACAGAAUAUUUGUUUUAACAAGAUAAAAGUGACAAAUAACUUAAAAUAUGUUAGAAAAGCUCCCUAAUUUGGAAAAAGAAUGUCAGUUGGGAAUGAUCAGCAGUGAGCUGUAGAGCUUGAUAGACACUUAUCUGAGCCAAUCCUCAGUCCUUCCAUUGGCCCUUGUGACUGUAUCCUAACCCAUUUUCCCCCAUAGCAUUUCUUUUCCUCACGAUCGUCCCAUAGAAUUCACCUAUAGAUUGCAAAUCUCUCUCGCCAUGCUAAGAUUAUCUUUCUUACUACCAAUUCUUUCUAGGCUUCAUGAUUUCUUUCCUAACUUCUUCUGAUUCGACUUUGAGACAACCCAGCACUCUGGAAUCUUUGCUGCAACUUCUCCAAUUAACUGAUGUUCCUUUCCAUCCUCUUAACAAGGUUUCCACCCAAACAUAUCGGAAUAAGUGGUUGCAGGCAAGCAAAGCAUAUGAUGGUGCCCCUGUGGUUUUCAGAUGGCUCAGCAGAUGUAUUUGGUUCAAGAUUGGAGGGGGGGUGGCAGACAUACAGUUUGGCCAGUGAGGUGAGUGGCUGUGGCAGACUGCAUGAUGGGUCGAAACCCUUCUUCUCAGACUCUUCCAUGAGAUGCUGGAAGUCUUGAAUAGGAAAGCAAGGAAUCAGGAUCUCAGAGGCUAAGUUCUGCGCCUUAUUUACAGGAAUCAUAACCUGUUGUCCUGACUUUUCCCAAAAAGGAGCAUUUACUAAACAACAAUGGCAUUUCUUCGGGCAGGCUAUGAAACAAAGUGAGGCAAAAGGAUACAGAAUGUUACCGCCUUUGGGAUCCCAUGCAAUCUAGUGAAGAUACUGCACAAACUGUGGAGAGUUCAGCGGUUCCUCAGCUGCAGCCCACACCUUUCUCUGCUUCUACUAACUCUUCUUGCCCCUUUUAAUGAGAUGGCCAAAGAGAAACACCCCUUCCUUAAUGCUGCAGAUGCCAAGAACCAGCCCCAUGGCCUGGGACAAACCUCCUGCCCAAACCCCUUGUUUCUGGGUCUUGUCCUCACUGCUGUCAAAUGAUAGCUAAACCCCAGCAUGGAGGCAUGCUGUGUUGCUGUCCUCCCAAGGAACAGCUUUUGCACCCAUGCUCUUCCACCUCAGCUGCCUCUUUACCAAAUUCAACAUGACAUUCCAAAUCAAUAAAAUGUCACUUUUAUUUUGAAGCUAAGUUUCA